CGCGGGGCAGACGGAACGUAGAGGGGUUCGCGCGGGCAAGAAGGGACGCAGACGCUCAGGACCCAAAGGCUGUGGCGUUGCGAGAGGAGGAAGACGCGCAGGGUAUGAACCUCGGCGCGUUCAUCUCGGGGGACCUGAAGGAGAGGGACUCGUGGAGAGUUGAGGGGUGUUUUGGAGGCGAAGCGCAAGGACUGCGCACAGGACUUGAAGGACGACAGGAAGGUGGGGGACUCGGCCCAGCCGUCUCCUGUGUUGUGUCAGAGUGGAGUGGCUGGAGUCGUUGUGUGAGGCCCUGCCAGGCCUCCUACCGUGUAUGCCGGAGGCGUGUCCUGCAGGAGCCGAGGAAUGGGGGUGUCCCCUGCCCCCUGCUGGAAGAGCAGGCGGGCUGUGUGGAGUACUGGAGCCACCAGGAAUGGAGUGCCAGCAGUCCUUGAGUGAGUGGGGGUGGGGCCCAGGGGUGGCUUUCAGUGGG
rnacentral:lncRNA from 1 species